GAGUUUGAUCUUGGCUCAGAACGAACGCUGGCGGCAGGCUUAACACAUGCAAGUCGAACGCGUGUAGCAAUACACGAGUGGCGCACGGGUGAGUAACGCGUGGAUAUCUGCCUUUUGGUUCGGAAUAACCCCGGGAAACGUGGGCGUAAUACCGGAUGGUUCCUACGGGAUAAAGAUUUAUCGCCAAAGAUGAGUCCGCGUACGAUUAGCUAGUUGGUGAGGUAAUGGCUCACCAAGGCGACGAUCGUUAGCUGGUCUGAGAGGACGAUCAGCCACACUGGGACUGAGACACGGCCCAGACUCCUACGGGAGGCAGCAGUGGGGAAUAUUGGACAAUGGGGGCGAACCCUGAUCCAGCCAUGCCGCGUGAGUGAUGAAGGCCUUCGGGUUGUAAGACUCUUUUGGUCGGGGACGGAUGAUGACGGUACCCGCAGAAUAAG
rnacentral:rRNA from 1 species